rnacentral:lncRNA from 1 species
AGACUUAGUUUCACUCUGUGGCCUAGGCUGGAGUACAGUGGUGCAAUCUCUGCUUACUGUAACCUCCACCCCCUGGGUUCAAGUGAUUCUCCUGCCUCAGCCUCCUGAGUAGCUGGGACUACAGGAGCGUGCCACCACACCUGGCUGAUUUUUUGUAUUUUUAGUAGAGAUGGGAUUUCACCAUGUUAGCCAGGAUGGUCUCAAUCUCCUGACCUCAUGAUCCUCCCGCCUGGGCCUCCCAAAGUGCUGGGAUUACAGGCAUGAGCCACCCCACCUGGCCCUACAUCCUUUUAUCUAAGGUCUAUGUGUCCGGUGUGGAACCUCAGUGGGUGUCUGAAUUUCUGAAAGACAGCUCAGGGACACAUUUUAAGAUGUUCUCCUUAGUUUGUGUGGGGAAAGCAAACAUCUCUGUCACUGACUUCUUUGGCUAUUGUUUUAGGCUACUGUCUUGUUUAACAGGUUGCUCAGUCACUUCUAGGGCUAGCUAGGGCGCUGGAAUUUUCCUUGAAGGAACUCAUAUUUUCCUUUAUUUCCAUGCUUGGGGUCUGCAGGCCCUAAAAAAGGGGUCCCGGCUCCAUCUCAGAGUCAGGUAGGCAAAUUUCUUAACUUUGGUAGAAAAACGUACUUUAUGUAGUAGGUGCUUAAUGAAUAUUUGUUGUAUUAAUUAUGAAGAGAUAGGUUGGGCAUGGUGGCUCACGCCUAUAAUCCCAGCACUUUGUGAGGCUGAGGCAGGCGGAUCACCUGAGGUCAGGAGUUUGAGACCUGCCUGGCCAACAUGGUAAAACCCCGUCUCUACUAAGAAUACAAAAAUUAGCUGAGCGUGGUGGUCCACGCCUGUAGUCCCAGCUACUUGGGAGGCUGAGGCAGGAGAAUCACUUGAAUUUGGGAGGCGGAGGUUGCAGUGAGCCAAGAUCGUGCCACUGCACUCCAGCCUAGGGGACAGAGUGAGACUCCCUCUCAACAAUAAAUAAAUAAAAUUAAAUUAAAAAUAGAGGCUGCCUAUUCGGACUUUUUUCCCCCGAGACGGAGUCUUGCUCUGUAGCCCAGGGUGGAGUGCAGUGUUGCGAUCUCAGCUCACUGCAACCUCCGCCUUCCGGAUUCAAGCAAUUCUCCUGCCUCAGCCUCUCGAGUAGCUGGGAUUACUGGUAUGCACCACCAUGCCCAGCUAAUUUUUGUAUUUUUAGUAGAGAUGGGGUUUCACCAUGUUGGCCAGGCUGGUCUCGGACUGCUGACCUCAGGUAAUCCUCCUGCCUUGACCUCCCAAAGUGCUGGGAUUACAGGUGUGAGCCACCACGCCUGGCCUCGACCCCCUUUUAUGCUAGCCUCAGCUGACCAUCCUGCUCACUAGUACACUGUGGGUCAUAGGGGGCCAAAAACAUGAGGCUGGUAACAUUCCAUCCCUGUUAUUCAUAGAUGAUAUUUAAGUUAAUGGUUGUUUUUUUAUUGAAUACAUUUCAAUGCCAGGUAUUAGAUGGUAUUAUCCCCAUGUUGGAGAUUAGGAAACUAAAGUGCAGAGAGUUUGAAUAACAUGCCCGAGACUAUAAAGCAAGAAUUGGAAGCCUGUUCUCCCUGUCUCUAAAGUCUUCUACUUUUGUGUUAUUGAAAGACCAACUUAGUGAUGGGGCACUUGUUUGCAAAGAUGUGUAAGUGAGACAGUCACUG